rnacentral:ncRNA from 1 species
GAGAAGGCUUAUUUCGAAAAGUAGAAUGAAGGGGUAACGUCCGGAAAUACUUUCUUUAAGCUCCGCCAUGCGAUUUGUUACGUAAAUAAUAGAUGGUAUGAAGCGCGGUAAAGUCGGCAGAAAAAUUUUGCAGUGAUUUGAUAUGCCGGAAGUCGGUUAA